GAUGAACGCUGGCGGCGUGCCUAAUAUAUGCAAGUCGAGCGAACAGACGAGGAGCUUGCUCCUCUGACGUUAGCGGCGGACGGGUGAGUAACACGUGGAUAACCUACCUAUAAGACUGGGAUAACUUCGGGAAACCGGAGCUAAUACCGGAUAAUAUAUUGAACCGCAUGGUUCAAUAGUGAAAGACGGUUUUGCUGUCACUUAUAGAUGGAUCCGCGCCGCAUUAGCUAGUUGGUAAGGUAACGGCUUACCAAGGCGACGAUGCGUAGCCGACCUGAGAGGGUGAUCGGCCACACUGGAACUGAGACACGGUCCAGACUCCUACGGGAGGCAGCAGUAGGGAAUCUUCCGCAAUGGGCGAAAGCCUGACGGAGCAACGCCGCGUGAGUGAUGAAGGUCUUCGGAUCGUAAAACUCUGUUAUUAGGGAAGAACAAAUGUGUAAGUAACUAUGCACGUCUUGACGGUACCUAAUCAGAAAGCCACGGCUAACUACGUG
rnacentral:rRNA from 1 species